rnacentral:rRNA from 1 species
GACGAACGCUGGCGGCGUGCCUAAUACAUGCAAGUAGAACGCACAGUUUAUACCGUAGCUUGCUACACCAUAGACUGUGAGUUGCGAACGGGUGAGUAACGCGUAGGUAACCUGCCUGGUAGCGGGGGAUAACUAUUGGAAACGAUAGCUAAUACCGCAUAAUAUUGAUUAUUGCAUGAUAAUUGAUUGAAAUAUGCUAUUGCAUCACUACCAGAUGGACCUGCGUUGUAUUAGCUAGUAGGUGAGGUAACGGCUCACCUAGGCGACGAUACAUAGCCGACCUGAGAGGGUGAUCGGCCACACUGGGACUGAGACACGGCCCAGACUCCUACGGGAGGCAGCAGUAGGGAAUCUUCGGCAAUGGACGAAAGUCUGACCGAGCAACGCCGCGUGAGUGAAGAAGGUUUUCGGAUCGUAAAGAUCUGUUGUAAGGGAAGAACGGGUGUGAGAGUGGAAAGUUCACACUGUGACGGUAGCUUACCAGAAAGAGACGGCUAACUACGUG